rnacentral:rRNA from 1 species
UACGGAGGAUCCAAGCGUUAUCCGGAAUCAUUGGGUUUAAAGGGUCCGUAGGCGGUUUGGUAAGUCAGUGGUGAAAGCCCAUCGCUCAAGCGGUGGAACGGCCAUUGAUACUGCCAGACUUGAAUUAUUAGGAAGUAACUAGAAUAUGUAGUGUAGCGGUGAAAUGCUUAGAGAUUACAUGGAAUACCAAUUGCGAAGGCAGGUUACUACUAAUGGAUUGACGCUGAUGGACGAAAGCGUGGGUAGCGAACAGG